AACGAACGCUGGCGGCAUGCCUAACACAUGCAAGUCGAACGAGAUCUUCGGGUCUAGUGGCGCACGGGUGCGUAACGCGUGGGAAUCUGCCCUUUGGUUCGGAAUAACAGUUGGAAACGACUGCUAAUACCGGAUGAUGACGAAAGUCCAAAGACUUAUCGCCAGAGGAUGAGCCCGCGUAGGAUUAGCUAGUUGGUGUGGUAAAGGCGCACCAAGGCGACGAUCCUUAGCUGGUCUGAGAGGAUGAUCAGCCACACUGGGACUGAGACACGGCCCAGACUCCUACGGGAGGCAGCAGUGGGGAAUAUUGGACAAUGGGCGAAAGCCUGAUCCAGCAAUGCCGCGUGAGUGAUGGAGGCCUUAGGGUUGUAAAGCUCUUUUACCCGGGAUGAUAAUGACAGUACCGGGAGAAUAAGCUCCGGCUAACUCCGUGCCAGCAGCCGCCGUAA
rnacentral:rRNA from 1 species